ensembl:lncRNA
GAGCAUUCCAAGGAAAACGCACGAAGCUGGAGCCCACGCAGCUGGCACCGAACUGGGCGGAGUGAGGAUGCUCUGAGAGUGAUGCCGCGCGAGGCGGGGGAGGGGAGGGCCUGGGGCGAGGGGGAGGUGAGCGCCAGGGGAGGAGAACCUCGCCCACCCCCGGCCCUUAAGGACCCCUCCGGGUAAAGUUAGCGUUCCCACGGCUGUCAGCCGACGAACCAAGAGGAAGGCACCCCUCCCUGCAUCUCCGGUGGCGGCCUGACUCCGGGUCAGCGCAGCCCGGGUUCAGAGGGGACCACUCGGAAAGAUGCGCGUCCCACGCGCCGCUCUGCGCGGCGGUGGAGGUGGACCGGCGCGAGGGCAGGACCCGGGGAAGAGCCUCCGCCGCCCCGGGGCCAGAUGUUUGGGGUCAGCCCGUUGGGCAGGCGAGCUCACACAAGCCAACGGUGAUCCAGUCCAGUCGGUGGCCGGUACCCCACCCUGUGACCGUGGAGGCGAGCCAGACACACCUCCAGGCUCCCGGCGGGCUCACCCCCCAGGCUGUCCGACUUCAGUUCGCGUCAGAACCCGGCCGGUGAUCACCCUGCUCCCACCCAAGUAAACAAGCCCCGCGCGGCAGGUCCCCCGACUUGAAAAAGUAGCCCUCCACCCUCCUCACCCGGUAACUCACAAAGCUUCUCCCUCUCCGGCUCCCGGGGGUCCCGGCACCCCCUCUCGCGUCCUCAAGGUGUCAGACUUCCCCUGCAAGAACAGGCGUCUGUGACUCGCUACUAGUGUCCACAAUGGAGACAGUCGCAAUGAAUAAAUGACGAGGCGGCGUUCCACCCACCCUCAGUCCAGCUCGCUCUUUCCAACGAAAUCAGUAACUUGAAGAACGGAACCAUCGCUGACAGCCUUGCCCAGAGUUCCCUGGAGUCUUUCCUGGUACACAGGAGAUGUUCAGUAACCACUACUGACCGUGACAUUAGGCUGCUAGACCAGCGGCAGACUGGACACACAGUGGUGACUCUGCCUGACUUUGAAGAUGACAGAGCUAAGCUGCAGAUGCUUCCGUUCACACAAGAACCACAUUCUGAGAACUCAUAAAGCGGUUGUAUGCUUCCUAAUCAAGUCGUAUUUCAAGUAUAUCAAAGUAAUGGCC